rnacentral:rRNA from 1 species
GACGAACGCUGGCGGCGUGCCUAAUACAUGCAAGUCGAGCGAAGCGGCGGAUGGGUGAGUUACGUGUGGGUAACCUGCCCUUCAGUCUGGGAUACCAUUCGGCAACAUAUGCUAAUACCGGAUAUUAAAGGAUGGACCUGCGAUGCAUUAGCUAGUUGGUAAGGUAACGGCUUACUAAGGCGAUUAUGCAGAGCUGGGUUGAGAGACAGAGCGGCCACAUUGGGACUGAGACACGGCCCAAACUCCUACGGGAGGCAGCAGUAGGGAAUCUUCCACAAUGGACGAAAGUCGGAUGGAGCAACGCCGCGUGAGUGAAGAAGGUUUUCGGAUCGUAAAGCUCUGUUGUUGGUGAAGCGGUAAUCAACCAGAAAGUCACGGCUAACUACGUGCCAGCAGCCGCGGUAAUAC